rnacentral:misc_RNA from 1 species
CUAAAAGGCUUAUGCUGAUUCCUAUACUACAUGUCAAUAUACAUAGAGAGAAGUAACAACAGAUUAGAAGACUAAGAACAGCAAGUUUGAAGACUUCCAAACCAGUACAAGAAUAGAAACAGCAAGUUAGACUAUUCACAUACAUCCAGGAAAAUUUUUAUUUCGAUCUGAUCCACUAUGGACUUAACGUAAAUAUGUAAAUUCAUGUAUUUAAUAGGUAAUCUCGCUAUAUAUUAUUUUAAAUCUAUGAUGAUAAAUCAGGUUCAGAUAAGAAAAAUUUCAUAUACCUAACUAGUUGAACUAAGUUUUGAAUGCUACAAUACUUUAUUCAAUGGCUUGUGAGAUUAAUUAAUUAAUUG